ensembl:lncRNA
CCACAAUUGUCACAGUUUCCUUCACUUUUGAAUGCAUCAUGCCAGUAAGAGACGACCUACUCCCUGUCCUCCUAAAGGCAGAGGGAGAUCGUGCCAGACCAAGCACGGAAGGCCUUUCUCACUCAAGCGAGGGAGGUCCAACAGGUCUCCUGUUUGGAGAAAAGACUCUGGGUCCCCAUUGAGCCUUCUGAAAACAGUGCAUGCUUCACUGUGAGCUCCUGAGAUCGUUAGAUGAGGACGCUGUGGAGUAAGCUCUUGAGAGUGUGCCUAUCCCAAAUGUCACAUCUGGAGGCCUGCUGUUUGAAACCAAGCUAUUUUUAGAGUCAUCACAGUUUUCCAACCCAAACUACUCUCAAGCCACUGGCUGGGCUGUCUGCUCCCUGCAUUGUUUUUCCCUUUCAGAAAGGGUAGUAGGAAAGGCCUGUUCCUGAGGAAAUGUGUUACUAUAAAAACACCUACAAACACCUAACAGUCCAGUUACGCUUUCCUCUGGUGCCACGUUUUUUUUCCCCUUCUCUUCCAUGACUGCUGAGUAUGUCUGUGUUACCACGAAUGAAGUCGUUUAACUCAGAACUCUACAAAGCUGUGUGUUUUCUAUAGACCUGACAUUACUUGAGGUUAGCCCCAGGCUGCUGUUAUAUGAGGUCAAACCCUCCCUUGCUGAACAAAGCUUUUAAUUUCUUCUUAAGCACACCCAAUAAGACUGGCUUCCAAGCUCGUCUCCAUAAAUAUUUGUCAUCCAGGAAUAUAAACCACCCCCCAUUUCUUAUUUAAUUACCCACGUACUUCAACGGGAG